UACGGGGGGGGCAAGCGUUGUUCGGAAUUACUGGGCGUAAAGGGCUCGUAGGCGGCCAACUAAGUCAGACGUGAAAUCCCUCGGCUUAACCGGGGAACUGCGUCUGAUACUGGAUGGCUUGAGUUUGGGAGAGGGAUGCGGAAUUCCUGGUGUAGCGGUGAAAUGCGUAGAUAUCAGGAGGAACACCGGUGGUGUGAGACGGCUCUCUGGACCGUAACUGACGCUGAGGCACGAAAGCGUGGGGAGCAAACAGGA
rnacentral:rRNA from 1 species